CUCUUCCAGGUCCCGCCUGACCUGCUGGGUCUCAGCGGGUCGUGGGUCUCUUUUUCCCACGGAGUUGGGCGGGCGCAGCCUUGGCUACUUUGCAGUGGGUUCGGGCCAGGCCCAGCCUGCGGUGGCAACAGCGAGUCUCGGACCGACCGUGAGCCUGGGGAGUUUGUCUCCAACGACUGCGGGUGCAGUGGCCUGAGUUCUAAGCGCAGGUGAAAAAAAGCAUAAUCCUCACUGACAGGCCUUGCCAUCCCUUUCUUCCAGGAGAUGAGUAUACAUCAACAUUUUUAGAAGAAAACGUACAUUGUCACCCUGCUGGGAGAGGCCUUAGGAAGUACUGCUGACCAUCUACCCUGUCAUCAGAAUAAAAGUCCUGGAUUCACAUGAGAUACCAAGCUAGAUCCAUAUCCUCACCACCCCCCCCAGGACAAUUAGAAGGCCAUCCCUAUGUGUGACCUUAAAUUGAGCAUUUCAAGAGCUUACUCAGGCUCCAGAAGCAGGCGACACCACGAAGUAGACAGCUUUACCCAAGAUCUCUGAUCAAGAAUUUUGUCUCCAUUUCUCUUCCCUUGCAAACCUCUGCCUGACCUGCAGAAUUUUCUGACAUAGAAAUUUAAACAAAACCCUUCCUCUUUCAGUUACAGAAGGACUGACUGGAGGUUGCUUGUCUAAACCUGUCCUCCCUCUGUUCCCCCACUACAGGCUCCCUUUCAGACUAUGUCUUGGUUCAGCGAAUUCUUACUGCUUUUUCAACAGUUUUAGCAUGGCCACAACACCCAUUCACACCAAUCUUUCAGACCCUGGCCACCUUAACUAAUCAGUCUAAUGGCUGGUUAUGUCAGCAUCUAAGUAACACACCAGAACCUGAACUAGGUUUUGUCCCUGCCAGUGCAAGCACCUGGUGGACCCAUUCUGGACAGUGGAUGUAUGGAAGGUACUCUGCUUCCUCCUACGGCAGAGUGACUUGGCAUUGGGGAACCCCCAUGGAAGCUCGAGGUCCGUCCUUCACUCAGGGAGAAAGCUGUGGACCAUUUAAUGUGGGAUGAUCUGCUGUACUCUCCUGAUUUCCCGUGAGCAUUUAAUCUACGGUCUAAGGGUCGUUUGUCUGGUAUGAGUUGUAGCUGUCUUAUGAUUAUGGGCAGCAGCAGCGAGGGGGGCUGUAGGGAACAAGUGGAGGUAGCAUUUAUUGUAUUGCACGUGUCACUCCGUUGCUCCUGUCCUUACAUUAUUCCGUUUAAUUCUCACACAGUGUUCUUCCCGUUUUACAGAUGAAUAAAUUGGAAGGGUAGAUAACUUGCUAAAGAUUAUACCAUUACUGGGACUUCCUGGUGGUCCAGUGGUUAAGACUCCACACUCCCAAUGCAGGGGGCAUGGGUUCAAUCCCUGGUUGGGGAACUAAGAUCCCAUGUGCCAUGCAGCGCAGCCAAAAAAUAAAACAAAGACUAUAUCAUUACUGAAAAUAAGAGGAAGAUGCAGAGCUGGUAUCUAGUAUGCAACCUUUCAUAGAGCAGAGGAAAGAAGAAAAAAUACACAGUCAUUCCUUGGAGAUAUUGUGGGUUUGGUUCCAGACCACUGCAAUAAAGGGAGUCGCACACAUUUUUUUGGUUUCCCUGUGCAAAUAAAAGUUAUGUUUACACUAUACUGUAGUUUGUUAAGUAUGCCGUAGCAACAUGUCUAUAAAACAAUGCACAUCCCUUUAUUAAAAAUAGUUUCUUGUGGGCUUCCCUGGUGGCGCAGUGGUUGGGAGUCCGCCUGCCGAUGCAGGGGACACGGGUUCGUGCCCCGGUGCGGGAAGAUCCACAUGCCGCGGAGUGGCUGGGCCCGUGAGCCAUGGCC